UAAUGGCGCACUACUCGCUUCGUCUCUUGAAAGUGACUCUCUCUUUCCGCUCUCUACAAUGCUGACACAUACCACAGCCUUCCCAUGCUCCUCCCCCUCCGCAGAUGGAGUUUUGGUUCCUUGCCGCCGUCACCUUUGGCUUGCUUGGCUGAGGACACUUAAAUUCCAGAGAUUAUCGUCGAUUUAAUAGCACAGAUACUACUUAAACUGAACUGAGCUGCAAUGACGUCUUUGAAUUCGAGGGGGGACCAUUCACACCUCUCCCGGGGCUACAGCCACCGUUAUCUACAAUGGAACAUCUUGCACUUGUUAGACAAGGCACAAAUAAAGUCUGAAAGUGAUGAAAGCCGGGAUGAAACAAACGAGCAGACGAAUAGCUCAAAGCUCAAUGCCUUUAACGAACCCAACCUCUCAAGAGAUAAAGAACUGGCAACUCAGCCACCAUUAUUCAGGCCUCCAGACAAGUGAAGUGGGACUGCGGCUCUUGGUCGUCUUGACGACGGAUGCUUUUUCAAGCAAAUCAGCCAAUGAAACGCGCACUGGUCGUCAUACAAAAGGCCAUGUGACUCUGGCUGCCUUUCAGCAGGAGAAGACGAGAAGCGCGAGGAUUAUUGACGUGGGAAUGACGGCGGUAAUGAUUUUUCUUUGCACUCUUUUGACUCUGUUUUUAUGGUGACUGCAGUCCCAUCACUGAAGUAGAUGUCUGGAAUAUAUUUGGGUUAAAUAGAGGCUGGAGGUGUGAGCCUCGGGGCUACGGAGAUGAAAGAUUGCCACCGUGUGGAGCAUUCGAGAAUUAUUCCAGUGGACCUCUAUUUUGAAAAUUAUGGGAGCGUUUUGAAAUAAUAAACCACUCAGUGACUCAAUUAUGACAAAUGUUUAUUUUAAUUAAGUAUAAAAAGAGAAGAAAUCACCAUUUAUACCUGAUAUACAAUAACAACACAUUUAUAUCACCUGCUUAUCAAAUAUUCUGUAGUAUUCCGCUUAUCAAAUAUUUUUCUGUUGUAGUAGUAGUAGUAAUGAUGAUAAUAUUAUUAAUAUUUAAUAAUAAUAUUAUUAUUAACGUUUUGAAAAAAUAGUUUUAUAAUCCGAAGCGCUGUAAUUGUCAAUAGCUUUGAAUUUUUAAGAAAUAAAGAAAUUAAUCUGGGUUUAAUUCAAAGUUUUAUUGUUUUUAUCAUCUGAAAAUUCCCUUUAAUUUCUGCGUUUUAAUGUUGUUUUUUAAUACGAGCACGAGGACAUUAAUAUGAGUAAUAAUGGGGGGAAAGAAACAAAAAUAAAAGAAGGAAUUACGGU